rnacentral:misc_RNA from 1 species
AGAGAGAGAGAGAGAAGAGAGGGAGAAAAAGAAGUACCCGCUUUUCAAAAACCUUUGCUUUGCCGCCAAAAGGCAAUUAGUUUUGCUGGGGUAUAGACAUUUGAGAAAAAUUAAUGGAAAACUCGGAUUUUAAGCACUGAAGAUGGAAAUUCAGAUUCAAAAAAACCACCACAUCCCCACCACUGCAACAAGAACCAGAGCAUAAAAAGCCUAAAAUGUGCACCACGACGUCCGACGAUGAAGAAACUGGCACAACCGCCCCCGGCGAUAACACGACGAUCAAGAAGCAAAGAUACAAGCGCCGCAAAGUGCGAUAUUCUUCUCACACUGUACUGCGGCGUGGGCUACCAGGGA